UACGUAGGGAGCAAGCGUUGUCCGGAAUCAUUGGGCGUAAAGCGCGCGUAGGCGGCCCUGUAAGUCCGUUGUGAAAGUCAAAGGCUCAACCUUUGAAAGCCGAUGGAUACUGCAGGGCUAGAGUCCGGAAGAGGAGUGUGGAAUUCCUGGUGUAGCGGUGAAAUGCGCAGAUAUCAGGAGGAACACCAAUUGCGAAGGCAGCUCGCUGGGACGUUACUGACGCUGAGACGCGAAAGCGUGGGGAGCAAACAGG
rnacentral:rRNA from 1 species